GACGAACGCUGGCGGCGUGCCUAAUACAUGCAAGUAGAACGCUGAAGGAGGAGCUUGCUCUUCUGGAUGAGUUGCGAACGGGUGAGUAACGCGUAGGUAACCUGCCUGGUAGCGGGGGAUAACUAUUGGAAACGAUAGCUAAUACCGCAUAAGAGUAGAUGUUGCAUGACAUUUACUUAAAAGGUGCAAUUGCAUCACUACCAGAUGGACCUGCGUUGUAUUAGCUAGUUGGUGGGGUAACGGCUUACCAAGGCGACGAUACAUAGCCGACCUGAGAGGGGGAUCCGCCACACUGGGACUGAGACACGGCCCAGACUCCUACGGGAGGCAGCAGUAGGGAAUCUUCGGCAAUGGACGGAAGUCUGACCGAGCAACGCCGCGUGAGUGAAGAAGGUUUUCGGAUCGUAAAGCUCUGUUGUAAGAGAAGAACGAGUGUGAGAGUGGAAAGUUCACACUGUGACGGUAUCUUACCAGAAAGGGACGGCUAACUACGUG
rnacentral:rRNA from 1 species